CGGACGGGUGAGUAAUGUCUGGGAAACUGCCCGAUGGAGGGGGAUAACUACUGGAAACGGUAGCUAAUACCGCAUAACGUCGCAAGACCAAAGAGGGGACCUUCGGGCCUCGCGCCAUCAGAUGUGCCCAGAUGGGAUUAGCUAGUAGGUGGGGUAACGGCUCACCUAGGCGACGAUCCCUAGCUGGUCUGAGAGGAUGACCAGCCACACUGGAACUGAGACACGGUCCAG
rnacentral:rRNA from 1 species